GCGGGUGUAGCGUAGUGGUCAACGCGCCUGGUUGUGGCCCAGGAGAUCAUGGGUUCAAGUCCCAUCACUCGCC
rnacentral:tRNA from 1 species